AAUGAACGCUGGCGGCGUGCUUAACACAUGCAAGUCGUGCGCGAUGGUGGCUUCGGCUGCCGGAGAGCGGCGAACGGGUGAGUAACACGUGGGCAAUCUGCCUGGGGGUGUGGGAGUAACCUGGGGAAACGUCGGGCGUAAUACCGCAUACGUUGUCGGGACCUUGGUCCUGCCAAGAAAGCUGGCCUCUGUUUACAAGCUAGCGCUCCCAGAGGAGCCCGCCGCCUGANAGCUAGUUGGUGAGGUAAUGGCUCACCAAGGCGACGAUCAGUAGCCGGCCUGAGAGGGUGAUCGGCCACACUGGAACUGAGACACGGUCCAGACUCCUACGGGAGGCAGCAGUGGGAAUAUUGGACAAUGGGCGAAAGCCUGAUCCAGCAACGCCGCGUGAGUGAUGAAGGCCGUUAGGGUUGUAAAGCUUCCGUUUUACCCGGGAUGAUAAUGAC
rnacentral:rRNA from 1 species